UAUGAGUUGCCAAUUUCAUCUGAUCUCUGUACGUGAUACCGGUGCAUUCAGAGAAAAAUCCUUAAUCAUGGGUGGAGGAUACGUAGACGAGUCCCAGUUUGCCCACUACACAGGGUUCAGGAGGUGGUUCAAUGCCGACACCACGUUUGGCAAGAGGAAUUGUGUAGUUGGAACAUAUGCCGCAACCUUCGUCCUAGUAUGGUACAUCAGGAGAAAGAUGAACAAGAACAAGGCUAUAGCAGCAGCUGCAGCGGGCGACAUCAGCAAAUAAAUGUGCCAUGGAUAACGGUGCAUGUAUCAUAGAAAGAACUGAACAUCGCCCUCGUAUUAAAAUAAAAAAUAUAGAUGAAAAACAUAUUUUUCAUCGAGUGAACUUUGACCUUCUCCUUUGCUGUUACACCAUGAUGCCCUCUCAACCGUCACUCAACUGAAAGAUGUAUUCACAUAGAAACACUUCCUUGGUGUCUCCACUCUCCUCGGACUGCAAACAGUGUCAUCAGCCAUGCAAUCUCUGUUUGAGGCUGCCUCCCCCUUCACCUGCCACAUGUAUUACAAGUUGCUGCUGUGGAACUUUUGGAAACAUGACCAAGCCAUGAUGAGUCUACCUCCAGCAGAUUCAAUAAUAUUGAACAAAUGUUACCGGUAACAAUGUAUUGAAUACAUUAUGUUGGAACCAGUGAAUUUAUCUGGUAUUAGGAAAAUAAAAGGGCAGUCAUAGGAAUAAGUGAAAAAUAAUUAGUCAAGCAUUUGAAAAGUGAAAGGGCAUGGUUAUCAGACUGGUUCCUGUAUUGUCUUUUCAAAGAAGAAAGAAAAUGUCAAUAACAUCAUCCUAUAUGUUAUGAAUGAAAUGCAAAUGUCAUGGCGUUUUAGGACUGGGAGAGGUUUGUUCUGACUUAAAUGGUAAUAAAAUCAACUUGUUACAUGUACACGUACCUAACCACUUGGCCAGCCUGAACUUCACAUUUAUAGGAAUUUAGAAAUUAUAAUUAAUUUCUUAUUUUGUAUCUUGAGGGUCUCUUUAAAAAUGUGUAUUGGAGUUUGUUGAAAAUUGAAAGAAUGCUAUUUGAAUACUAGAAACCUUAA